UGGAAAAGGAGCUAAGAUUCGGAGUAUGUUUGGCUUUGUCUCGGCCACAGCCUUCAGGUGUUCAAGCUUUAUUUUCUGAGGAUCUCAGAGCUGCCACGUUGAGGAUGGAUUGAAGGGGCCAACAGCAGAAGCUGUUGCAGUAAUCCAGGCUAGAAGUGAUGGUGGCUUGGACCAGAAGGGGCUGGAUUCUAGAUGUAUUUUGAAGGCAGAGUCGGCUGCAUUUACUGUUUGGAUAGGAGUGAGAGAGAGACAAGGUGGUGGAGUAGAAGGACUUGAGCUCACCUCCUCUCACGAAUAUACCAAAAAUCACAACUAACUUCUGAGCAACCAUUGACUAAAUAGACUGGAACCUGCUGAUAAAGAUAUUCUACGUCCAGAGACAUAGAAGAAGCCACAGUGAAACAAUAGGAGGGGUGCUUUUGCAAUAUAAUCAAAUCCCAUACCCACCAGGUAGGUGACCCACAAACUAGAAAACAAUUUUAUCACACAGGUUCUCCCACAGGAGUGAGAGUUCUGAGCCCCGCAUCAGGCUCUUCAGCCCGAGGGUCUGGCAUUGGAGGAGGAGCCCCAGAGCAUUUAACUUUGAAGGCCUGCAGGGCUUGAGUGCAGCAGCUGCACAGGACUGGGGGAAACAGAGACUCCACUCUUGGAGGGCACACACAAGGUUCGUGUGCACUGGGACCUAGAGACUCCACAGGACCCUGGGCCAGACAUACCUGCAGGCCUUGGAGGGUCUUCUGGGGAGGUGGGGGUCAGUUGUGGCUCACUGUGGGGGCAAGGACAUUGGUAGUGGAGGCCCCAGAGAAUAUUCAUUGGUGUGAGCUCUUCCAGAGGUUGCCAUCUUGGCAUUCAGACUGGUCUCACCCAACAGUCUGCAGCCUCCAGCGCUGGAAUGCCUCAGACCAGACAGCCAACAGGUGGGAACACAGCCCCACCCAUCAGCAGAACAGCUGCCUAAAGUUGUCCUGAGUGCACAGCCGCCUCUAAACAUACCCCAUGACACAGCUCUGCCCACCACUGGGGUGAGAGCCAGCUCCACCCACCAGUGGGCAGGCACCAGUCUCUGCCAGCAGAAAGUCUGCACAAACCCCGGACCAACCUCACCCACCAGGGGACAGACCCUAGAAGCAAGAGGGACCACACAUCUGCAGCCUGAUAGAUAGAGACCACAAACACGGAAAGUUAGACAAGAUGGGACAGCAGAGAAAUAUGUUCCAGACGAGGGAACAAGAUAAACUCCCAACAACUAAGUGAAGUGGAGAUAGGCAAUCUGCCUGAAAAAGACUUCAGAGGAAUAAUGGUAAAGAUGAUGGAGAAGAUACAAGGAAUAUUUAACAAAGAACUGGAAGACUUAAUGAACAUAGAGAGAUGAACAAUACAAUAAUUGAAGUAAACGUAACAAAAAAGAAGAAGAUUCACAGAUACAGAGGACGAAUUGGUCAUAACCCCUGGGGAAAGGGAAGGAGUGAGGGGGCAAUAUAGAGGUAGGAGAGUAAGAGGUACAAACUAUGAGGUGUCAAACAAGCUACAAAGUUGUGUGAAAAUUGUAUAAAUAUUAAUUAU